rnacentral:rRNA from 1 species
AUUGAACGCUGGCGGCAGGCUUAACACAUGCAAGUCGAGCGGGGAAGGGUAGCUUGCUACCUAACCUAGCGGCGGACGGGUGAGUAAUGCUUAGGAAUCUGCCCUUUAGUGGGGGACAACAUUCCGAAAGGAAUGCUAAUACCGCAUACGUCCGACGGGAUAAAGCAGGGGAUCUUCGGACCUUGCGCUAAAUGAUGAGCCUAAGUCGGAUUAGCUAGUUGGUGGGGUAAAGGCCUACAAAGGCGACGACCUGUAGCGGGUCUGAGAGGAUGACCCGCCACACUGGGACUGAGACACGGCCAAGACUCCUACGGGAGGCAGCAGUGGGGAAUAUUGGACAAUGGGCGGAAGCCUGAUCCAGCCAUGCCGCGUGUGUGAAGAAGGCCUUAUGGUUGUAAAGCACUUUAAGCGAGGAGGAGGCUACCUAGAUUAAUACUCUAGGAUGGUUGACGUUACUCGCAGAAUAAGCACCGGCUAACUCUGUGCCAGCCGCCGCCGUAAGAC